rnacentral:lncRNA from 1 species
UUUUUAUUUUUUUAUACCCAGAUGUCCACCUUACAGCGAUUAAUUCUGGGGUCUAUGAUCCAGCCCCUCUUCACGCAGACCAGGUAAACCGCGGGUUGUGCUCCAAACUGGCCAGGUCCACGAGCUCCUCCAACUGAACUGUCAAAGUGCCGAGCGAGUCAAACGCAUGUAUGCACCUUGCCUUCCAAGGAACUCCUGCCUUCCAGAAAAUAUCCUGCCUUCCGGGAGAAAGCUUUGCCUUCCAAGAGCCCUAUGAAUCGAACCCGCGACCUCUGAACUGCCCGCCUUGAAAACUCCGUCCUUUGCCAGUUGGGAUGUGCCCCAGGGGUCAAUUUAUUAUUUUUUGUCAAUAUUGUAGUGUAC